rnacentral:lncRNA from 1 species
CAGUUGGUGGCGUCUCAUGAGGAGGAGAGUACUCGAUUGGCGGCUUCUCAUGAGGAGGAGGAUACUCAAUUGGUGGCUUCUCGUGAGGUGGUGGGUGCACUGGUGGUGACUUCUCAUAAGGUGGCUCAUGCACUGGUGACUUCUCAUGAGGAGGAGGAUAGACAAUUGGUGGCUUCUCAUGAGGUGGUGGGUACACAAUCGGUGGUUUCUCAUAUGGUGGCACAUACACUGGUGGCUUCUCAUGAGGAGGAGGGUACUCGAUUGGUGGCUUCUCAUGAGGAGGAGGAUACUCGAUUGGUGGCUUCACGUGAGGAGGAGGGUACUCGAUUGGUGGCUUCUCAUGAGGAGGAGGGUACUCAAUUGGUGGUUUCUCGUGAGGUGGUGGGUGCACAUGUGGUGGUUUCUCAUAAGGUGGCUCAUACACUGGUGGCUUCUCAUGAGGAGGAGGAGGGUACUCGAUUGGUGGAUUCUCAUGAGGAGGGGGGUACUCGAUUGGUGGCUUCUCAUGAGGAGGAGGGUACUCGAUUGGUGGUUUCUCAUGGGGAGGAGGGUACUCGAUUGGUGGAUUCUCGUGAGGAGGAGGAUACUCAAUUGGUGGCUUCUCGUGAGGAGGAUGGUUCUCUAUUGGUGGCUUCUCAUGAGGAGGUGGAGACUCGAUUGGUGGCUGCUCAUGAGGAGGCGGGUACUCGAUUGGUGGCUUCUCAUGAGGAGGAGGGUACUCAAUUGGUGGCUUCUCAUGAGGUGGUGGGUGCACAGGUGGUGGUUUCUCAUAAGGUGGCUCAUGCACUGGUGACUUCUCAUGUGGAGGAGGGUGCACAAUUGGUGGGUUCUCGUGAGGUGGUGGAUACUCGAUUGGUGGCUUCUCAUGAGGAGGAGGGUACUCAAUUGGUGGCUUCUCGUGAGGUGGUGGGUGCACAGGUGGUGGUUUCUCAUAAGGUGGCUCAUGCACUGGUGGCUUCUCAUGAGGAGGAGGGUGCACAAUUGGUGGCUUCUCAUGAGGUGGAGGAUACUCGAUUGGUGGCUUCUCAUGUGGAGGAGGAUAUUCAAUUGGUGGCUUCUCGUGAGGUGGUUGGUACACAGGUGGUGUUUUCUCAUAAGGUGGCUCAUGCACCGGUGACUUCUCAUGAGGAGGAGGGUACUCGAUUGGUGGCUUCUCAUGAGGAGGAGAGUACUCGAUUGGUGGUUUCUCAUAAGGUGGUUCAUGCACUGGUGACUUCUCAUGAGGAGGAGGGUGGACAACUGGUGGCUUAUCGUGAGGUGGUGGGUGCGCAGGCGGUAAUUUCUCAUAAGGUGGCUCAUACACUGGUGGUGGCUUCUCAUGGGAAGGUGGAGACUCAAUUGGUGGCUUCUCCUGUGGUGGUGGAUGCACAUGUGGUGGCUUCUCAGAAGGUGGUUCAAACAAUGGGGGUGGCUUCUCAUGAGGAGGUGGAUGUAAUGUCGGCGGUUUCUCAUAAGGUGGUUCAUAUACUGGUGAUGGCUUCUCAUGAGGAGGUGGGUUAUCUAUUGGUGACUUUUCAUGUGGAGGCGGGUGCAAUGGUGGCGGUUUCUCAUAAGGUGGCUCAUAAACUGGUGGUAGCUUCUCAUGAGGAGGCGGAUACUUAAUCGGUGGUGGGUAUAAUGGUGGUGACUUCUCAUGAGAAGGUGGGUACUCUGGUGCUGGCUCCUCAUUAGGAGGUGAGUAUUCUGGCGGUGAUUUCUCAUGUGGUGGCUUCUCAUAACUAGGAGGUGGGUACUCAAGUGAUGGUUUUUCAUGAGGAGGAUGAUACACUGGUGGUGGCUCAUACACUGGUGGUAGUGUCUCAAAUGGAGGAGGCUCAAAAAUAGGUGCUAGAGGCUCAUAAGUAGGU